UCCCAGGUGGCUCAGAUGGUAAUGUGUCUGCCUCCAAUGCAGGAGACUCGGGUUCGAUCCCUGGGUUGGGAA
rfam:TPA: Bos taurus chromosome 20, whole genome shotgun sequence.